CUGAGCCGCUUCGUCAUCAUUCUCAUGGGCCUAAUGUUUAACGUCGUUCUCUGCUCCCGAAUAUGAAGGAAUUAGCACUUAAGCUGCUUAAGUAUCUGAUAAUUCAAAUCCACCAUGAAAAUAGAAGGAGUAAGAAAGCAGUACACAAUGGCCUUCUGCUGGCAGUUAAAUCUCACAUCUCAUCUUUCAACCAAGAUUACCUAAACUGCAAAAUUACUGUUGCAAUUGCAGGACCAUUCAGCUCAGUGAUGAAAUAUGAUACUGUUCAUCAAGAGAUAAAACACCACCUUUCAGGGUUUCCUUUAAUUCCUGUUGAAGAAUCUGAAGAAGUUGACAACUUCAUUAAAUAUUGUGGCCAACUCCAAAUCAUCUUUCAGUUUCAGGUAUGUGAGAGGAGUGCAGCAUUGAAAACGGACUGUUUGAUUUUAAGACAGUUUCUGCAUCGUGUCAGUCUAGUACAUCCACAGGUUCAGAUCCAUUUCAUAAGGCAGAUUAAUUCUGAUAUUUCUUUCCAAACAUUUGGUAUGAAACAAGAUAGCAGGAUUAACUGGAGAAAAGUGGAUCUUAUUACAGAUAGUACACAUUUUGUUAAAUCACCUCACCACAGUCUGACUGGACAGUGUGAAGAGAUCCAUCCAGUGAAAGGAAGAGGCUUAUAUCUAUCAAUACCAGAGAAUGUCGUGGAAUCUUGGUUUUGUGAUGACAUCACUAUUUGCGCUUGGGCAGCUGUAUGCCCAUGUCUCAGACAACACCCAUAUAUACCCGCCAGAAUUGGCAAAAUCAGCAUAUCCUUAAUGUGAUUUGAAUUUAUUAUAUUUGAAACAAAUUUCAUAAAAGUAAUAAUUAUGACGUGCAAGCGAUUGAAAGUGGAGAAAUGUAAAGGAAAGUUAAAUGCAGCAUGCCUUACUAAAUCUUAUAUCAUAUCCACAGUGCAGUAUACUUAUAAUUUUCUAAUUACUAGAAACAAAUGAAAUUUAUUCAUAUACUGUGUCUGGAAAUUUCAAGAAAUAUUUUGUAAACUUUGUGAACACUGAUUAAGUGGAAUUAUUUGUAAUUUUAUUUUAAGUUUUAGAUGUACAUUUCUGCUCCUGCAUUCAAUGCGCAUAUUCUGAAUUCCUUGACUUGCAUACAUAUUUGUUUAUGGACCCUCUCAUCUGCCAUUGCUUUUUGAAAAUAAUUGCAAUAAUAUGCAGUUCCUACAAAGAAUGUAUCAUUUGCUAAACUGGGAUCAAUAUGAUCUUCAAGGUGUUACAUAUGUUGGCACUUCAUUAAUAGAAGGCCAAGCCAGGUGUGAUGUUAGCUACAUUGUACCCUCUGACCAGAAAAACAGUGUUGAACAGACUCUUUGCAUUUUUCUGUUUUUUGAAUGCAAAACCACUUUUAAGCCAGAG